rnacentral:tRNA from 6 species
GCCUCGGUGGUGAAAUUGGUAGACGCAGGGGACUCAAAAUCCCCCGCCGCAAGGCGUGCCGGUUCGAUUCCGGCCCGAGGCACCA